AUUGAACGCUGGCGGCAGGCCUAACACAUGCAAGUCGAGCGGAUGAAGGGAGCUUGCUCCUGGAUUCAGCGGCGGACGGGUGAGUAAUGCCUAGGAAUCUGCCUGGUAGUGGGGGAUAACGUCCGGAAACGGGCGCUAAUACCGCAUACGUCCUGAGGGAGAAAGUGGGGGAUCUUCGGACCUCACGCUAUCAGAUGAGCCUAGGUCGGAUUAGCUAGUUGGUGGGGUAAAGGCCUACCAAGGCGACGAUCCGUAACUGGUCUGAGAGGAUGAUCAGUCACACUGGAACUGAGACACGGUCCAGACUCCUACGGGGGGCAGCAGUGGGGAAUAUUGGACAAUGGGCGAAAGCCUGAUCCAGCCAUGCCGCGUGUGUGAAGAAGGUCAUCGGAUUGUAAAGCACUUUAAGUUGGGAGGAAGGGCAGUAAGUUAAUACCUUGCUGUUUUGACGUUACCAACAGAAUAAGCACCGGCUAACUUCGUG
rnacentral:rRNA from 1 species